rnacentral:rRNA from 1 species
UACGUAGGGUGCGAGCGUUGUCCGGAAUUAUUGGGCGUAAAGAGCUCGUAGGCGGUCUGUCGCGUCGAUCGUGAAAACUUGGGGCUUAACCCCGUGCCUGCUUCCGAUACGGGCAGACUAGAGGUAUGCAGGGGAGAACGGAAUUCCUGGUGUAGCGGUGAAAUGCGCAGAUAUCAGGAGGAACACCGGUGGCGAAGGCGGUUCUCUGGGCAUUACCUGACGCUGAGGAGCGAAAGUGUGGGGAGCGAACAGG